ensembl:snRNA U6 U6 spliceosomal RNA
GUGCUCACUUCAGUAGCACAUACACUAAAAUAGGAACGAUACAGAGAAGCUUAGCAUGGCCCCUGCACAAGGAUGACGCACAAAUUCAGGAAGCAUUCUAUAUUUUU